UACGUAGGGUGCGAGCGUUAAUCGGAAUUACUGGGCGUAAAGUGUGCGCAGGCGGCCGCGCAAGUCGAGUGUGAAAGCCCCGAGCUUAACUUGGGAAUUGCGCUUGUGACUGGCGUGCUGGAGUGUGGCAGAGGGAGGUGGAAUUCCACGUGUAGCAGUGAAAUGCGUAGAGAUGUGGAGGAACACCGAUGGCGAAGGCAGCCUCCUGGGCCAGCACUGACGCUCAUGCACGAAAAGCGUGGGGAGCAAACAGG
rnacentral:rRNA from 1 species